AUGAGGCGGCAUGGGUGGCAACUCCCGUACCACCCUCUCCAGGUGGUCGCCGUGUCCGUGUUCGUGGCGCUCGCGUUCGCGUUCUACGUCUUCUUCGCGCCCUUCGUUGGGAGGAAGGUCUUCCAGGAUGCCGCCAUGGGGCUCUACACUCCUCUGGUUUUAUGUGUAUUCCUUCUGUACAUCUGGUGUGCUGCGACGGAUCCAGCAGACCCAGGGGUCUUCAAAUCAAAGAAGUACCAAAGAUUGUAUGGAGGCUGCAAGCAUAGGCGUCUCAAGGAGUCCAUACAAGGUGUUUCAGAUGUUGGAUUACAACUAGAGGGAACUGGAGAAAAGAGAGGACAUGAGGUUGCUGAUGCUAAUGAGAAGUCAAUGACUGAACUGAAGAACAAAAGCUCAUCUUGCUGCAGUGCAACUUUCUCUGCAUUUCUCCUUAUAUUCAGCCCUCUUUCUUUUGUUUUUUCCUGCUGCCAAUCACGUGAAUGGUCCUCUGAGCAGCACGACAGUGAAGACGGGAUGUUUUUCUGCAGCCUUUGUGAAGUCGAAGUGUUGAAGUACAGUAAGCAUUGCAGAGUUUGUGACAAAUGUGUGGACGGUUUUGAUCAUCACUGCCGGUGGCUCAACAAUUGUAUCGGAAAAAGAAACUAUAGAAGGUUUUUUCUUCUAAUGACAACAGCCCUUUUCUUGCUUAUCCUGCAAUCAGCAACUGGAGUAUUGGUGCUAGUUCUCUGCUUUGUUCAGCGAAAGGAAUUCUCUAUGCAGAUUGUGUCAAAGCUAGGAAGCAGCUUCUCUAUAGCGCCUUUCAUCAUUGUGGUGGCAUCCUGUACCAUCCUAGCUAUGAUUGCUUUACUGCCGAUUGCUCAACUUCUCUUUUUCCACAUCCUUCUCAUCAAGAAGGGAAUCAGUACCUACGACUACAUCAUUGCCCUGAGAGAGCAAGAACAAGAAGAGGUUAGUGGGGAGCAGAGUCCACAGAUGUCUCAUGUAAGCUCCUAUGGUGGGCUUAGCAGUACUAGUUCCUUUGGUGCACUCCGUCGUGGUUCAUGGUGUACCCCUCCAAGAUUGUUUCUUGAAGAUCAGUUUGACGUUAUUCCAUCAGAGGCUGGCUCUUCACAUAACUCCGCUACCAAGAGAAAAGACGAAGAAGUAAGGAGGAAGAAAACCUCAGGGGCUGUGAAAAUUAGUCCAUGGGCACUGGCUCGUCUUAAUGCAGAAGAAGUUUCUCGAGUUGCUGCCGAGGCAAGGAAGAAGUCCAAGGUUUUAGUGCCCAUCAGAAGAGACGAGUACUCACUCGGUCAUGAAACAGACAGUAGCUAUGGAGGCAUGAGCAGCAGGAUUGAUCUGGGACCUGAUAACACAAUGAGAACAAAUAGGAGAGGAAGGCCCCAUGGUGAUCUCUCUCUUAAACCUGUUGCAAAAAUAUCCUCAGAUGCCAUCGACAGUAAUGGCAGCGACAUGGUCAGUUUAGCACCGUUGCAACUUGAGGCGCGGAGUGCUUUUCAUCCAAGCAGAGCUGCAUCUUCCGCUAACGUCGAUGGGUCAUCUCCAGAUAGCAGCUUGGAUUCGCCUGAUCUGCACCUGUACCGGUUCUCAGGUGUCUCCUCUGCAACCGAAGACUUGCAGCUGGUAGCUCUCACUGCCCCGGGAAGCACUCCACAUCACGGCAUUCAGCUGUCUAGAUCAACCAGUGACGGGUAUGAAGCAUCAGGCGGUGAAGACAGCGACCGCAUCCCGUCAAGGAUAGUGCACCGCUCCUCCAACUGGGCAAGCAUCAUCCUCAGCACCGAUCAGGGUGUUCCCUCGUCGGGAGCCCUUUUGCCGAAGAACAGAUUGCCUUAG
rnacentral:rRNA from 1 species